rnacentral:rRNA from 1 species
UACGGGGGGGGCAAGCGUUGUUCGGAAUUACUGGGCGUAAAGGGCUCGUAGGCGGCCAACUAAGUCGGAUGUGAAAUCCCCAGGCUUAACCUGGGAACUGCAUCCGAUACUGGAUGGCUUGAAUCCGGGAGAGGGAUGCAGAAUUCCAGGUGUAGCGGUGAAAUGCGUAGAUAUCGGAAGGAACACCAGUGGCGAAAGCGGCUUCCUGGUCCAGCACCGACGUCAGGCACGAAAGCGUGGGGAGCAAACAGG